rnacentral:rRNA from 1 species
AUUGAAGCUUGUAUGAAGGGUUGGACGAGAUAAAAUCUGUCUCUAUUUAAAUAAAAGUAGAAUUUAACUUUUAAGUCAAAAGGCUUAAAUGUUUAUAAAAGACGAGAAGACCCUAUAGAUCUUUAUUUAAUUAAAAUUUUAAUAAUUUAGGAUUAUUUUAAUUUAAAUUUUUAAUUAAAUUUUAUUGGGGUAAUAUAAAGAUUAAAUAAAUUCUUUUUAUUGAUUACAUUAAUUUAUGAAUAUAUGAUCCAAUAUUAUUGAUUAUAAGAUUAAGUUACCUUAGGGAUAACAGCGUAAUUUUUUUGGAGAGCUCAUAUCGAUAAAAAAGUUUGCGACCUC